CCCAACUCUUCCACUCCAAGAGCAAGCAACACCAUACACCAAUAAGCAAAAACCACACACAAAGAAGCCAUGGCCUCACUGCAGUGCGUCAAACCAUCCAACGAAACCUGCCAGCAAAAAUGCAAUGAAAGGUAGGCGGGCCAAGAGGUGUCCAAGAUGACUACCUUGGUUGUAGACCAAGUAUUUCAUCAUGGAUCUCUGACCACCAGCCAGACACAUCCCCAGCCGCAGUCCGGCCAGUCUUGUCCUGCGAAGGAGACACUGUCCAAGACCAAAACUUGCUGCCAGAGCCAAGCCAAGACGCAGCAACUAGACCCGGGCAUAGCCAAAGUGCAGACUCAAUGCCCGGGCAAGAGUGCUACCCUUGCUACCAAAGGAGGUCACCACAGCAAGAACCACGCAAGUAAUGGCACGGCAUCCAAGGGGAAGACCAAGAAGAAAGAGAGCAAGAACCUCUUGCAGAAGAUUAAGGAUGGCAUCUCAGGUAAUAGCAGCAGCAGUGACAGCAGCAGCAGCUAGCAGCAGCGAGAGUGACAGUGACAAUGAUACCCGCGGAAAGACGAAGAAUUGAAGGAUCAAUGGCAAAACGUCACAACCAUGAUGAUAAGAAAGAUCCCUAGCUCAUGAAUUGCACGAUAAUAAAUAAAUAAGAGUGAAAAAAUAAUCGCUACGUGCGUGUAUGGUGUGUCAUCCCAUGUAAAAGUAUAUGUAAUAAUGUCUGGCUUUUAUGAAUAAAAUCUCUUAGAUAUUAAAAAAA